rnacentral:rRNA from 1 species
UGCAGUCGAGCGGACAGAUGGGAGCUUGCUCCCUGAUGUCAGCGGCGGACGGGUGAGUAACACGUGGGUAACCUGCCUGUAAGACUGGGAUAACUCCGGGAAACCGGGGCUAAUACCGGAUGCUUGAUUGAACCGCAUGGUUCAAUUAUAAAAGGUGGCUUUUAGCUACCACUUACAAAUGGACCCGCGGCGCAUUACCUAGUUGGGGAGGUAACGGCUCACCAAGGCAACAAUGCGUACCCAACCUGAAAGGGUGAUCGGCCACACUGGGACUGAAACACGGCCCAAACUCCUACGGGAGGCAGCAGUAGGGAAUCUUCCGCAAUGGACAAAAGUCUGACGGAGCAACGCCCCGUGAGUGAUGAAGGUUUUCGGAUCGUAAAACUCUGUUGUUAGGGAAGAACAAGUACCGUUCGAAUAGGGCGGUACCUUGACGGUACCUAACCAAAAAGCCACGGCUAACUACGUGCCACCACCCGCGGUAAUACUUAGGUGGCAAGCGUUGUCCGGAAUUAUUGGGCGUAAAGCGCGCGCAGGCGGUUUCUUAAGUCUGAUGUGAAAGCCCCCGGCUCACCCGGGGAAGGGUCAUUGAAAACUGGGGAACUUGAGUGCAAAAAAGGAGAGUGCAAUUCCACGUGUAGCGGUGAAUGCGUAGAGAUGUGAAAGAACACCAGUGCAGAAGGCGACCUCUCUGGUCUGUACUGAC